GACGAACGCUGGCGGCGUGCUUAACACAUGCAAGUCGAACGCUGAAGCACCAGCUUGCUGGUGUGGAUGAGUGGCGAACGGGUGAGUAAUACGUGAGUAACCUGCCCUUGACUCUGGGAUAAGCCCGGGAAACUGGGCCUAAUACUGGAUGCUACAUGUCACCGCAUGGUGGUGUGUGGAAAGGGUUUACUGGUCAUGUAUGGGCUCACGGCCUAUCAGCUUGUUGGUGAGGUAAUGGCUAACCAAGGAGACGACGGGUAGCCGGACAGUGGGGGUGACAGGCGGCACAGGGACCGAGGGACGGCCCAGACGGCGACGGGAGGCAGCAGGGGGGAAUAUUGCACAAGGGGCGAAAGGCGGGUGCAGCAGGGCCGCGUGUGGGAUGGCGGCCUUCGGGUUGUAAACCUGUUGCAGCAGGAAAGAAGCCACAAGUGACGGUACCUGCAGAAGAAGCGCCGGCUAACUACGUG
rnacentral:rRNA from 1 species